UACGUAGGGGGCUAGCGUUGUCCGGAAUCAUUGGGCGUAAAGAGCGUGUAGGCGGUCCGGUAAGUCCGCUGUGAAAGUCGGGGCUCAACCCUCGAAUGCCGGUGGAUACUGUCGGGCUAGAGGGUGGUAGAGGCGAGUGGAAUUCCCGGUGUAGCGGUGAAAUGCGCAGAUAUCGGGAGGAACACCAGUCGCGAAGGCGGCUCGCUGGGCCAUUCCUGACGCUGAGACGCGAAGGCUAGGGGAGCGAACAGG
rnacentral:rRNA from 1 species